GGUUUAAUCAGAGCCCAGCAACAGAGAUCACUGAAAUUACUAUUGUCAGAGAAUGUCUUUUAUCAGACCACUGACAUCGAUUAUUGAUCAUUCGAUCAGUGAAUUAUUUGAGGAGUUUGAGAGAAGGAUCGCAGAGUACGAGGAGGAAAUUUUGCGACUAAAGAAGGAAAACUCGACAAAGAGAGAAACUGGACGCUAUUUAUAAACCUGAAGUACGGAUAUACAGAUUAGGGACAGAAAUCUAUGGUGCUGGUCAUACGCCCUUUGCUGUCGAUAAUGGAGGAGCAGGUGCAGUUUUUGAAAGCAAAAGGCAUUCCUGCCGCCUACGCGGGACAAAGCGAGGACAUCGAUGACCAGAUCACCGCCAGUGAUUUCACCCUUGUGUUUGGCACACCAGAAACUUUUGUUGGCCAAGCAAAGUGGAGAGGGCUUCUACAAACGCCGUUAUUUCGGGAGCGGCUGGUUGGAGUGGCUGUUGACGAAGUACACACUGUAGUGCAAUGACCCCCAGCAGCUCUUAGCUUCUGCAAAGAAGAUUUUCAUAGGGAAGCAGGAAUGGCGCCCCAUUUAGGGCGAGGAGGUGCCAGAGGCCCCGUGCACCAAAGAGGAAGAGGAGAAACUUUGGACCAGUUGGGAGGAAGAGCAGGCUUGUAUAGCCAAGUUUCCAUUCAUCCUUGUCCCUAUGGAGAAUGAAAACGAUGAAGCAAAACCUCUGCCCCUACAGCUUCAUCAAAGUCAAACAGGGAAGUACAGAGUGGUGGAGCCUCCAGCCAGCACCCUAACUGAAGAGACAAAAGCAGAACCUGAUGGAGAGAAAUGUGGACUAUCAGAACUAGUUAGUAACCAAGAUCAAGAUGAUGAUUUAGAAACAACUAGUUAUGGUCAGCCCCUUUCUUCAGACUGCUAUCAAAGUGAGGCUGAAGACAGUGAUGAUGGUUGUAGCAAGACUAGAGAACCACAGUCAAGUUUGUACACAACAAACAACACUGAAAUAACUAAUCAGAGAUCUCUUCAGAGGAAAACCAUCAAUUGCUCAGUCUGCGGUAAAGGGUUUUCUACAAGAGGACAUAUGCGGAUGCACAUGAAUGAACAUACAGGAGAGAAGGUACUAUCCAGAAUUUGAGGACAUUUUCAGUCUGACCUAUGAAAUUUAAAAUAAUCCAUGCCCAAAAUACUAAAACAUGCACUUGUUGUGUUAAAUAUACUUGUUCUGAGACAAAAU